ensembl:snRNA U6 U6 spliceosomal RNA
CUGCACUAAACAUACUAAAAUUGAAACUAUACAAAGAAUAUUAGCUUGGACCAUUAGCAAAGAUGACAUGAAAAUCUGUGAAGUAUUCCCUAAUUUC